rnacentral:rRNA from 1 species
AGUGGCGGACGGGUGAGUAACGCGUGAGAAUCUGCCUUGGGGUCGGGGACAACCACUGGAAACGGUGGCUAAUACCGGAUAAGCCGAUUGGUGAAAGAUUUAUUGCCCGAAGAGGAGCUCGCGUCUGAUUAGCUAGUUGGUGAGGUAAGAGCUCACCAAGGCAGCGAUCAGUAGCUGGUCUGAGAGGACGAUCAGCCACACUGGGACUGAGACACGGCCCAGACUCCUACGGGAGGCAGCAGUGGGGAAUUUUCCGCAAUGGGCGAAAGCCUGACGGAGCAAGACCGCGUGAGGGAGGAAGGCUCUUGGGUUGUAAACCUCUUUUCUCAGGGAAGAAGCUCUAACGGUACCUGAGGAAUCAGCCUCGGCUAACUCCGUGCCAGCAGCCGCGGUAAUACGGAGGAGGCAAGCGUUAUCCGGAAUUAUUGGGCGUAAAGCGUCCGCAGGUGGCGAUUCAAGUCUGCUGUCAAAGCACGGGGCUUAACUCCGUAAAGGCAGUGGAAACUGAAUAGCUAGAGUGCCGUAGGGGUAGAGGGAAUUCCCGGUGUAGCGGUGAAAUGCGUAGAGAUCGGGAAGAACAUCGGUGGCGAAAGCGCUCUACUGGACGGCAACUGACACUCAGGGACGAAAGCUAGGGGAGCGAAUGGGAUUAGAUACCCC